GCCCGCUUAGCUCAGUGGUAGAGCGCUUCACUUGUAAUGAAGAGGUCGAUAGUUCAAUCCUGUCAGUGGGCA